rnacentral:rRNA from 1 species
UCCGUAGGUGGAUAAUUAAGUCAGAGGUGAAAUCCUGCAGCUCAACUGUAGAAUUGCCUUUGAUACUGGUUAUCUUGAGUCAUUAUGAAGUGGUUAGAAUGUGUAGUGUAGCGGUGAAAUGCAUAGAUAUUACACAGAAUACCGAUUGCGAAGGCAGAUCACUAAUAAUGUACUGACACUGAUGGGCGAAAGCGUGGGGAGCGAACAGGAUUAGAUACCCUGGUAGUCC